GAUGAACGCUGGCGGCAUGCCUAAUACAUGCAAGUCGAGCGAACAGACGAGGAGCUUGCUCCUCUGACGUUAGCGGCGGACAGGUGAGUAACACGUGGCUAACCUACCUAUAAUACUGGGAUAACUUCGGGAAACCGGAGCUAAUACCGGAUAAUAUAUUGAACCGCAUGGUUCAAUAGUGAAAGACGGUUUUGCUGUCACUUAUAGAUGGAUCCGCGCCGCAUUAGCUAGUUGGUAAGGUAACGGCUUACCAAGGCGACGAUGCGUAGCCGACCUGAGAGGGUGAUCGGCGACACUGGAGCGGAGACACGGUCCAGACUCCUACGAGAGGGAGCAGUAGGGAAUCUGCCGCAAUGGGCGAAAGCCUGACGGAGCGACGCCGCGUGAGUGAUGAAGGUCUUCGGAUCGUAAAACUCUGUUAUGAGGGAAGAACAAAUGUGUAAGUAACUAUGCACGUCUUGACGGUACCUAAUCAGAAAGCCACGGCUAACUACGUG
rnacentral:rRNA from 1 species